GAUGAACGCUGACAGAAUGCUUAACACAUGCAAGUCAACUUGAACUUCGGUUUGGGUGGCGGACGGGUGAGUAACGCGUAAAGAACUUGCCUCACAGAUAGGGACAACAUUUGGAAACGAAUGCUAAUACCUGAUAUUAUGAUUAUAUGGCAUCGUAUAAUUAUGAAAGCUAUAUGCGCUGUGAGAGAGCUUUGCGUCCCAUUAGCUAGUUGGAGAGGUAACGGCUUACCAAGGCGAUGAUGGGUAGCCGGCCUGAGAGGGUGAUCGGCCACAAGGGGACUGAGACACGGCCCUUACGCCUACGGGAGGCAGCAGUGGGGAAUAUUGGACAAUGGACCAAGAGUCUGAUCCAGCAAUUCUGUGUGCAAGAUGAAGUUUUUCGGAAUGUAAAGUGCUUUCAGUUGGGAAGAAAAAAAUGACGGUACCAACAGAAGAAGUGACGGCUAAAUACGUG
rnacentral:rRNA from 1 species